ACUCCACCCUUUCCUGUCCAGACCACUGUGAAGGCCUUUAGUCACCUCCUAGAGAAGCAAGAUUUUCAGCCCUGGCUUUCUACCCCCACACCCUACGGCCGGCCAGGGGACAGGGUCGUGUUCACACAGUGCUAAGGGAACACGCUGACGUGUGUGACAUCAAGAACUCCAGUGCCCACACAGCCCGAGUCCGGAUGGGACGUUUGAAAUCAGGAAGGAGUGUGGGUUGGAUCCACGUUUCUGUUCAUACCAGGCAGGCACAUCGGAAGGCUCACGGUCAGAGGAUGCUGGGACAAACGCCACGAGAGGUUCCUUUUUGUCUGGCUCACCCAGAAGAGAGGCUCCUCUCCUCCCUUCCCUGCAGCACAACGGCCUGGCUGGCACCCAAAGGGCAGCCGGCAUGGGCUGACCUCAGAGGAGCAAGGCGUGUUUGCAGCUCUGCCGCUCACAUCCACAGUGGCCAUGACAACAGGUGCAGCACCAUCCAUUAAAGCCCUGUGUCAUUUCGGAGGGCUCAUCAAUGUAUGGAGAAAUGAAAGAGCGCCGCAUUUCACAUUGGAGGGAUCUGGGUUUGAGUCCUUGGGCCAGCCUUGCUACAGUGGGGGCAAGAACACCAAUCACACUGGCUUAUUACGGAAUUCAAAUGUGGCAGAGUAUUUAAACUAUGAAGUGUAGAAUAAAUUAAUUGGCUUGCCAAUUCCCCAUAGCUAGUACUAGAGGCUGGCCUCAGAUGGAAGAACCAGG
rnacentral:lncRNA from 1 species